ACGCCUGCCCCGUUUCCGGGAGAGUCCUGCCUUGCGUAGCCGCUGUGCAGGAAAACCUGGCACGCAGGAGUGGCAGCGGCUACCUCUGUUUGGCUGCCUGUCCCCAGCCGAGAGCUGCCAUGUGACCUUCUAUCCAGGUGGCGCCAUCUGGGCUGCGGCAUGGUGUCCCCUGCCACCACCAGGAGAGGAAGAGGAGCAACCGAGCCAUCACCAGUGGGUGGCACUGUCGUGCUGUCCGGACCCCGAUCGAGAGCACCCGCUGACCGAGGCCACGUCCGAACCUGGCCUCUUGCAGAUCUGGGACCUAGGACCUCUGCAGCUGAACAGGGGUCCACGUGAGAGGAGUGUGUCACCACGGCUAGGUCUGUGCCUUGCGCAUGACUUUGGCUUCGUGGCCGGCUUGGAUUGGUGCCCUUCUGGCUGCUAUCAGGAAGGGGACCGUCUGGGCCUACUGGCACUCGCUUGUGGAGAUGGCUGCGCUCGCAUUCUCAGGUACACUUUCUUA
rnacentral:lncRNA from 1 species